rnacentral:rRNA from 1 species
CCCCUAGAUGUUCUGGGCCGCACGCGCGCUACACUGAACAGUUCAACAAGUCUUAACCUUGGCCGAUAGGUCUGGGUAAUCUUUGAACGCUGUUCGUGAUUGGGAUAGACCUUUGCAAUUAUGGGUCUUCAACGAGGAAUUCCUAGUAAACGCAAGUCCUCAGCUUGCAUUGAUUACGUCCCUGCCCUUUGUACACACCGCCCGUCGCACCUACCGAUUGAAUGGUCCGGUGAAAUCUCGGGACGGCGGCUUGGUCGCUUGCGUCCGACUGCUGAAACUUGAUUAAACCAUAUCAUUUAGAGGAAGGUGAAGUCGUAACA